rnacentral:rRNA from 1 species
UACGGAGGGUGCGAGCGUUGUCCGGAAUCAUUGGGCGUAAAGGGCGCGUAGGUGGCCCGGUCAGUUCGUGGUGAAAGCGCGGGGCUCAACCCCGCGUCGGCCAUGAAUACUGCUGGGCUUGAGCACUGUAGAGGCAGGCGGAAUUCCGGGUGUAGCGGUGGAAUGCGUAGAGAUCCGGAAGAACACCGGUGGCGAAGGCGGGUCUCUGGGGGUUUUCUGACGCUGAGGAACGAAAGCCAGGGUAGCGAACGGG